rnacentral:tRNA from 1 species
GUUAUUUUGGCAGAAUAGUGCGAUAGAUUUAGAAUCUUUAUAUGUAAUAAAAAUAUUACAAAUAA